rnacentral:rRNA from 1 species
GACGAACGCUGGCGGCGUGCUUAACACAUGCAAGUCGAACGGAAAGGCCCUGCUUUUGUGGGGUGCUCGAGUGGCGAACGGGUGAGUAACAAGUGAGUAACCUGCCCUUGACUUUGGGAUAACUUCAGGAAACUGGGGCUAAUACCGGAUAGGAGCUCCUGCUGCAUGGUGGGGGUUGGAAAGUUUCGGCGGUUGGGGAUGGACUCGCGGCUUAUCAGCUUGUUGGUGGGGUAGUGGCUUACCAAGGCUUUGACGGGUAGCCGGCCUGAGAGGGUGACCGGCCACAUUGGGACUGAGAUACGGCCCAGACUCGUACGGGAGGCAGCAGUGGGGAAUAUUGCACAAUGGGCGGAAGCCUGAUGCAGCAACGCCGCGUGCGGGAUGACGGCCUUCGGGUUGUAAACCGCUUUCGCCUGUGACGAAGCGUGAGUGACGGUAAUGUGUAAAGAAGCACCGGCUAACUACGUG